UAUGUACUCCCUCCAUUCCAAAAUACUUGACUUCCAUUUGUCCAAAAAUGGAUGUACCUAUAUACUAAAACAUGUCUAGAUACAUCUAUAUUUUGACAAAUAGAAGGCAUGUAUUGUGGAACGGAGGGAGUAGAAU
rnacentral:pre_miRNA from 1 species